UUUGCCGGAUUAGCUGAGAGGUGGUGCAUGGCCGUCGUCAGUUCGUACUGUGAAGCAUCCUGUUAAGUCAGGCAACGAGCGAGACCCACGCCCACAGUUGCCAGCGUACUCUCCGGAGUGACGGGUACACUGUGGGGACCGCCGCUGCUAAAGCGGAGGAAGGAAUGGGCAACGGUAGGUCAGUAUGCCCCGAAUAUCCCGGGCUACACGCGAGCUACAAUGGUUGGUACAAUGGGUAUCUACCCCGAAAGGGGAUGGAAAUCUCCUAAAGCCAAUCUUAGUCCGGAUUGAGGGCUGCAACUCGCCCUCAUGAAGCUGGAAUCCGUAGUAAUCGCGUUUCAACAGAACGCGGUGAAUACGUCCCUGCUCCUU
rnacentral:rRNA from 1 species